rnacentral:rRNA from 1 species
CCUACGGGGGGCAGCAGUGAGGAAUAUUGGUCAAUGGACGGAAGUCUGAACCAGCCAUGCCGCGUGCAGGAAGACGGCUCUAUGAGUUGUAAACUGCUUUUGUACAAGGGUAAACCUGAAUACGUGUAUUCAGCUGAAAGUACUGUACGAAUAAGGAUCGGCUAACUCCGUGCCAGCAGCCGCGGUAAUACGGAGGAUCCAAGCGUUAUCCGGAUUUAUUGGGUUUAAAGGGUGCGUAGGCGGAUUGAUAAGUUAGAGGUGAAAUGUCCGAGCUUAACUCGGGAACUGCCUCUAAUACUGUUGAUCGAGAGAGUAGAUGCGGUAGGCGGAAUGUAUGGUGUAGCGGUGAAAUGCUUAGAGAUCAUACAGAACACCGAUUGCGAAGGCAGCUUACCAAUCUAUAUCUGACGCUGAGGCACGAAAGCGUGGGUAUCGAACAGGAUUAGAUACCCUAGUAGUC